UACGGAGGGUGCGAGCGUUGUCCGGAAUCAUUGGGCGUAAAGGGCGCGUAGGUGGCCUGCUAAGCGUGCGGUGAAAGUCCGGGGCUCAACCUCGGAUCGGCCGUGGCGACUCGUGGGCUGGAGCACUGUAGAGGCGGGUGGAAUUCCGGGUGUAGCGGUGGAAUGCGUAGAGAUCCGGAAGAACACCAGUGGCGAAGGCGGCCCGCUGGGCAGUGGCUGACGCUGAGGCGCGGACAGCGUGGGGAGCAAACAGG
rnacentral:rRNA from 1 species